UCAGUUCUACUAUUAUUUAUUUUUUUAAAUAUUUUUGAAAAAAUAUAAUUUUUUUACAAUAUUUUCAACUUAAACACUAUUCACACUGAACACGUAUGGCAGCUUAACCUACCCAAGUAUGAAGUUUAAGAAGCCAAAACUGUUCUAGCUUUGUUAAAAGAAAAGUUGUGCUGCAGACCAUUGUAGUGAUGAUUAACAAAGCAAGGAAAAGCACCACUCAAAUCAUGUUACAAUUUCUUUGUUCAAUUGGAUUAUGGUGGGUCAAAUGUUGCACUUCACAUAGGCAUGGCUAUGAUGCAGUGACACCUGAGAAGAUGCAAUACUUCCUCAGAUCUAACACUAGGAGGAUUCACAUUUCUUACGUGGUAACAUACCAUAAAAGCCAGGGUUAGUUUUCAUCAUGAGCAUUACCUUAUAACCUCAGUAACCAAAGACUUACUUGUCUAUAAUGAAUUGUUUCAAAUUAAUUAACAAGGCCUUCUUCAGAAAAAGGAAAUUCUUCUUGAUAGUGACAAAUGCAAAUUUAGUAAGUCUGAACUGAGAAAUUUGCCUAACAACUUGAACUUAAAUUUACUCGUUAAAAAAAAAAAAAAAAGUUUGGACAUUAACAACGGUUAGCUAACGUUCAGGGACCAGUUUAGCCUCAAAAAAGGCAAUUCACGAAGAUUUAGAGGUCAUUUUAAUUUGGCGCUUUGUUACAUCUUGACUGGUGCUUCUUUCCUCGCUGUCUUCACAUCAAGCCAUGGGGCCAAUUCUAUUUUCAGUAAAUGUUUGACAGCUUAUUACUUAAUAACAGUCUCAGCACUUUUAUUAAGCAUGCAAGACUAACAAAACUUUGGCAAUGCAUAAGUGUAACACAGUGACAAGAGAGAGCUUUUACAAUUAAGUCUUCUAAUACUGCCUUCACAGUGUGGAAAUUGUGCUACAUCCACCAAAAGAGGGCCCCGUCUACUCAAAUAUUUUAGUACUUCACCCCAGGAACAAACUCCUUUGCAUUUGGAUUCAGAUUGCUCUUGACCUGGAAAAUAAGUACAUAAAAAAUCAAGUUCAUUAACAGAUGGCUUCAGAUACUCAAAAGCAUUCAACCCAGAUCCACAUGCAAAAAUAUCUUCCAAAAAACGUAAGACAAAAGAACUCAAAUUGUAUGGUUAAACUUAACCCAAAAAAUCUUACCUAUAGAAGGGAAAGAAGGAACCAGAAGUAAACUAUAUAUAUUAUGUAUGCGUAUAUAUAUAUAUAUAUGUAUAUACGCAUACAUAAUAUAUGAAAACUUAUAGCCUUCUAAAGAGAAAGUAAAAAUUGAAAUUAAAUUUGCUUAAGUGUAAUCAGAAACCCACUAUCUACACACAAACUAAAAAGGUGUCACUGAAUAAGGAAUUCUGUUCAUUUAACUAUAAUAUUUGAUUUUAACAGUUUCAUACUAUGCAAAAAUAUUAAACAAGUAUUGAAAUGAUGAUUAAAGUGGAUUGGGGAAUUGUUUAUGGAUUAAUUUUGCUUAUGAUCCUCAUUGAAAAUAUAGAGUUGUCUUUCUAAAACUGCUGUAUUCUAAUUACUACAGGAAGCAAGGUUUGUAAAAGGAAAAGAAAACUACAUGGGGAAUGAGAAGACCCUAAGAUGGAAUUCCAGCUCUGCUCUAAACUAACUUCCUAAGAAAGCCUGGAUAAGUCACUCUCUUUGGAACCCUAUUUCUGCAUCAGUUAGAGGAAGAAUGGGCCAAAGUCUUUAAGAGCCAGUAUUCUAGAUCUCUAAAUCUUGACUUUCCUAAGCAGACACGUCAGACAUUCCACAAUAGGUGGAAAUCUGCCUCCACCAUAGUUGAUAAAGAUGAAAAGAAAUCAAGAUGUAUUACAGGGCCUGAAAUGUCAGAAUACUGGUAGGCUUUUAGAUUGAAUAUGAUCCCCCUAUGCCACUUACUUCAUGACCAAAGUAUAUUAAAUAACACCUUGAAGCAACAAUUUAAUAUUAAUUUUAUAAUUUAUACACAGCCAUUUCCUUGGACAGGACAUACUCUCACUUCUCUCAAAGGAAAUCUAUCUAAACUUUAAAAGUGUGAAGUUUAAAUUAAAAAAAGCAUUGUUCUUGAAUGUGCAAUCUUUUGGCAGCUACAAAAGAAUGAUAAGGAAUUAACAUAAUCUCAAAUAGACCAAGAAGAACAAGCCAGUUUCUAGACAAUGAAAUUGUAUUGGGUCCAGAUUAAAGUUAUACAUUAUGACCAGCAAAGGACUUCACUCAUCAGAGCAACCAGGAUUAUUUGUGGAAUGACUAAUGUAGUCAUAAGCAAGCAUAUCACAACAGACUAUUGAGAUCACACAUCUGCUCAACUGGGUUGUCAUUUACUGCAACAAAUCUGUACUACAAUGUAAAUUUCAGUGUUCUCCAUACAGCCCUUUAGAAGAAUGGUUCCCAAAUGCCUGAUGGGGCAGGCUGGCAGUAUGCCCUAGGAGUGCUUUUUAUGCCUAGACAACUGGUUUGCAAGUCUGGGAUCUAGCUAAGGGACUUAUUUUUGGUUUUAAUCCUUCACAGGUAAUUAUGAUAUAUCGCCAGGUUAGGAAAUCAAUGCACAGUGAACAAAAAAUAACUGCAAAAAAUAUUUGUGAGUCUAGGAGUAAAUCCCAGAGAACUAUAUUGUAAAAGCAAGUAGAGACUGUCAAUAUGGACAGAAAGGUCACCAUUAUGACUUUAGAUCAUUUUAUCUUAAUUUUGGCAAACGAUUCAUCACAUUCUAUUCUAGCACUGAUGCCUAUUUAUCUUAAUUCCUGAAAAAAUUUACUGCAAAUGUACCUACCGUCCCCAGCAAUGAGACAUAGAGAGUAGGUAAAAAUGUAAAUAGGUUUUUGUUCCUUUUCUGCCAAGAGCUUGUAAAAGUCCAUAUUAAAUCCCAGUUCCAAAUGGAGUUAGGGUAACUCAAUGAAAAUCUUGGGGCAGGAAAAAAAAAAAAUCUCCAAAUUUUCACCUUUCAGAUAAAAAUGUGCAAAUUUCGACAAAUGUUUAAGAAAAAAUUAAUGAGCAAAACUUCUUCAUCAAGCUACUUUUGUAUAGGCAAGUCACAUGUACAUACCAAUAUCCUAGGGUAAUAUAGUUAUCAAAACUAAAAGUAGUGGCAAGAAGUCUGUUAGCAGCCUCAGACUAGCUCCAGAGUGUUGCCAGAAGUCACUCUAAGUCAUAAGUGAGACUGAGAGGCCCCUGCUUCCAUAGAAAGAAGCAGUACAAUUUCUGAAGGGGAAGAAAUGUAGAACUCUUGUUAAACAGAUACUGCUGGCUUUUCCACUUAAGGGAAAGAUGAGCUAGUUUUUUAAAAAGAUGAAAAAUAACUUUUUACCACAAGAUCUUCCAGAGAAGAGCCAUCACUGAUAACAAGGUCAUUAAAUUGGUCUUGGAUUUGGUCC
rnacentral:lncRNA from 1 species